CCCUUAGAUGUCCUGGGCUGCACGCGCGCUACACUGAUGUGUCCAGUAAGCACCUAACCUCUUCCGAAAGGAACGGGUAACCUUUGCAAAGCACAUCGUGAUGGGGAUAGAUUAUUGCAAUUAUUAAUCUUCAACGAGGAAUUCCUAGUAAGCGCGAGUCAUCAGCUCGUGCUGAUUACGUCCCUGCCCUUUGUACACACCGCCCGUCGCUCCUACCGAUUGAGUAAUCCGGUGAAUAAUUCGGACUGCGGCAUUGACCGGUUCCCGAUCGUUGCUGCGGAAAGUUUAGUGAACCUUAUCACUUAGAGGAAGGAGAAGUCGUAACA
rnacentral:rRNA from 1 species